CACGUCAGAAUUGGGCUGAGAGAAAGGAACCUCGUUCAGCUCCACCCUUCCACGUUGCCAGCAUGCAUAUGGCAACUCCUCCAAGAACAUCAUCUCAGACCUUCAAAAGGGAGAACCCAGGCCAUAAAUCGUCAUUCACCCUUCUCUUCUCACCUUUCCUCUCGUCCCUGGACACAUCAGUCUGUUUGCGAGCCCCGAAACGCCUAGUUAGAGACCUCCGAUCAAAAAACGUUCUUCAUCAAAGUUGUUCGCCUAUGUCUCUUCUAUCUAGCCUCCAAAUUUCAGCUCCAUCGGAGUCGAUUUGUGACCUGUACACCCCUCGAAGCGGAAGCUGUUUGGAAGCAAGCCUGUUCCGGAUUUCUGCUUAAACUCCCUCUCUUGCUCUACCCGAAUCCCCAACACCUUGCUUGAGACUGAUACCAACAGUUGGUAAGAUUCUUAAACUAUCAAGUUCCUAAUUCAUUCCUCAAUUUUUAGGCUCAAUACGUUCAAAACAACCCAUCUACAUAUUGAGCGGUCUCUGUUUCACUUUGCAUGUUCGAGAUUGAGCAAACUUCUUGGUCUGCAAUUAGGCUCGAUCCAAUCAACUCUCUCAGCUCUCUUUCCUGUCGAAUCCCUCAAGAAAAACUCAUCUUUUUGGUUAGUCUUUGGCUUGACAUCGUGGUAGGAUCUUGUGAAGUUGGUGGUUGCUACAAGGUUGCAUUGAGGCCAAGUGCUGCAAGAGAAAGCUCGAGUUCCAGUUUGUUUUGCAGGCUGUUGUUGUCGAAGCUUGGGUACGGAGGAUAAUCCUUGGAGGCCAAAAUUUGUUUUGUUUAAAGUUUGUUUUUAUUUGGCAUGUUUUUUUUUGGUCGGUAAAAUAAACUUUCAUUUAGAAGGAUAAAUUUACAAUAAAAGGCCUAGUAAAUAGAGAUUGGUUGUGACUGGUUGAUGUACUUAUUAGGCUGACCUGAAGAAGUACAUGACCAGCCUAAUAAGUACAUGACCCAAUCUCAAUAAAUCUUGAUUUAGUAGACAUUUUAAAAUAAACGAUACAAAACCUAAUAAAGAGGCUAAAAAGAUAAAAAACACAAAAGUCGGAGCCCAAACAAACAGUAGGAGGCCCAACAGAAAACAACAAACAAAAGAAAACCCUAAUUCUAAACUUCUCCUUGUCUUCAGCCGCCACAGAUCCAGCACCACCAACGUCCACCAUGGCCGUCGUAGCUGAAUCCAAGCAUGGAACUUCAAAAUUGCAGCUUGAAAAGAGACCCCUACACCAAAGCCCGAACAAAAUAACCCUGAAAAUGGAAAAAAAGAAAAAGAAAAUAGAGGAUCUAAACACAGAUUCAUCAUCAUCCCCACAGUAAAAAUCUGCACCAUAACAUGAGAUUUGCUGCCACAACUCAGAGAACAAAUCUGGGCAAACGAAGCCCAGAACACAUGGAGCCAAUAGACCCCAAUAAUAGAACAUAGAAGGAGGUGGUGCAUGCACCCGAGCCAAAGCUCUACCUAUCUUCCGAUUGAGAUGCGAGAAAUCGCGUUUGAGAGGAGUCUCUGCAAGCACCAAGCCAUGGUACCGAUUUGAAAAGGAAAAGAAGAAAUCUGGGCAACAAGAUCCGGAGAUGAGAGAUGGUGGGUAAAAAAAAGUGAUGGGUGGUGAGGAAUGAGUUAGAGAAAAUUUGGGGCUAAGGUACAAAAAGAAAAAUGGGGCAAGAUGGAAGGAGAAGGGAAGGAGACCGAAGGAGAAAAAAAGAGAUGAAGCAAGAGGCAAAAGCCUUAGAUCUGAGACAUAGCUCAGGGAAGCUAAGACAUAGCUCAGGCAAGCACCCAUAAAGGGUGGGCAGUGCCACCGACUCUCAAGGUACAGAGGGGUUUCAGAGAGAGAAAAAAUCUCUCUCGCUUUUAUCUCUAUUUGGCAUGUUUGAUUUCGUUAAAUUUUUGUAACGUUAUGUAUGGUUGAUGAUGUGUGUGAUUGCUUACCACUAAAGUGGAACCCUAGGGUUAGAACCUCCAUUUGAUUUUAGGUCGUAGUGGGCUAGACCUAGAAGACUCACGUAACUUACCAUUCAAUGAACUUAAUGCAAACUUGGGCUAAGAACUAAAAAAAAAAUGACAUAGGUUCUAAAACUCAACACAACACCACCUUCCUUUCCUCUUCCUCGCCUAGUUCGUAAUCUUGUGAUUACGAGCCAAGCCCACUAUACAAGCCCAAGAAUUUCGAGCUUAUAGAUUUCUUGAUCUCCAACCCAAAGGCCUUGUCUCUUAAGGAAUUCUAGGCCCAAAACACUUACUCCCUAAGUGUUGCGAGUGUAGGGUUCCUUAGGGAGGCGGCGCUGUGGUAAUCCGGUCUCCGGGUCACCACACCCCGAACACGCAUUGAGCCUCAUGCCAUGCCACCUUAAUAUCUCAAAUGCUUCCCUUAAAUGCUCUAUGUGGUCCUUCCGAUGCUUACUUUUAACCACCAUGUCAUCAAUGUAAACUUCCAUGGUCUUCCCAAGUAAUUCUUUAAACAUUCGGUUGACGAGCCUCUGAUUGGUCUCGCCGACGUUGGUGAGGCCAAACGGCAUGUUCGUAUAGCAAUACAAGCCUCGUUAUGAGAUGAACACUAUUUUCUCCCGAUCUUCUGGGGCCAUAGGGAUCUGGUUAUAACCGGAGUACGCGUCCAAGAAAGAUAAACGUUCGCACCCGGUGAUGGCAUUCACGAGUUGGUCGAUCUUGGGGAGUGGAUAACAAUCUUUUGGGCAUGCCUUGUUUAGAUUCAAAUAAUCCACACACACUCGCCAUUUUCCAUUCUUCUUUCUUACUACGACCAUGUUCGAGAUCCAGGUUGGGCACCAAACUUCACGUAUAAAGCCUACCUCAAGGAGGCGGUCAUUCUCGUCGCUGAUAAUCUUAUUCCUCUAGGGGCAAAAUGCCGUUGACGCUGCCUGUAAGGUCUGAAGCUUGGGUCUAUAUUUAACUUGUGACAUGCGACUCCUGGGUCGAUUCCAGGCCUAUCCUUGUGUGACCAUGCGAAUACGUCUUGAUUUUCUCUCAAGAAUUGCAAUAAACGAGCUUGUUCCUCUUCAGUUUGGAGGGUGCCUACCAAGACCUUCCUCUCGCCAGAAGCGUCGAGGGCUUCCUCCCGAAGCGGCUCAGUGGUAGCCGGUUCAGGUUCGGGUUCGGGCUGCUCAUCUUCUAGUAGGUCCUCCGUUAAUUGCUAUGCCGACGGACCCUCCUCACCUUUAUUCGACGGCGGAGAGCGCUUGAUUUCCAUGGUAUACAACUUUAUGGAGAGUAGCUGAUCGCCUCAAACUGAUAUCACCUGCUGGCCAUCAUCGGAAAUAAAUUUGAUUACCAGACAUCUAGUUGAAGCAUCGGCUCUCAUCCUAUGGACCCAAUCUCAGCCUAGAAUGGCAUUGUAGGCUGAUAGCUUCUUGACAAUGACGAAAUCGACCUCCACGGUUUUCCCUCCCGUCGUCACUGGUACUGAAAUCUUCCCCAUAGGCCAUGUUUCGAAACCUUCAAAGUCAGUCAACGGGGCUCUGCUGGGGUGGAUAAGUGUCUUGUCUAAUCCGAGCUGCUCAAACGCUUCCCAGAAUAUGACGUCGGCGCUGCUCUCGGCGUCGACCAUUAUCCGCCGCACGAGGGCGUCCGCGAUUUGGGUAGACAUGACCAAGGCGUCCCGGUGGGGAAACUGGAUGCCAAUGGUAUCUACCGCGGAGAAACUAAUUACCGGCGUAGGGGAAGCACUCUGCCCCGUCGAGGGGCUGCUCGUGAUCUGGCACACUCUAAGAAUCUUCUCCGCCAAGCGGGUUUUCGACCUUAAGCGUACUUCCUCCUCCACAGUGGUAUAAGGGGCUCCAUGGAUGGCCAAUAUUUCUCUGAUGAUCAGUUCCGUGUCUUUUGCCAGGGUUUUGCUUUCAACCUUGUCUGCUGCCCUACCUUCACCGGCCUGGCCGUCGGAUUGGUAUUGACAUAACUUCCCUGCCUUCAUCAACUCUGAGAUGGCUGGCCGCAAUGCCUCGCACUUAGACAACCAGUGCCGAACGCCUCAUGGAGGGAGCAAUAUUUGGUCCGUUCGAAUGCGUCUCUUGUCACCAGUUGAGGUGGGGGUUUCGUGAAGAGCCCUUCAUGUUGGUGCCUUCUGAAUAUGGCCGUAGGGCUUAGGGUGAACCAUUCCUUAGGUAGACGGGCUCGAGGCUUUGCCUCGUAGUGGUGUCGGCUGUCCUGCCUCACUCCGGGGUGGCUGCCUCGAUUUUGCCUUCUUUCAUCACCGAAGGUGACAACACUGGUGUAUCAGGCCUCGUGUACUUCUUUGGCUCUUUCAAUUCUGAUCUCUCCCUCAACCCUUGUGAUGAUGUCGUCCAUGUCCUUUGGCAGAUCACGCAGUAAACUUUCGUAUAAUGGCAUCCCCAAAAGCAAUCCCUCUCGGAAGGCGAUCGCAGCGAAUUUGGGAUCACAGUUAACAUGGCGCAUUUCAGCUUUAAACCUUUCAAAAAAUUUCCCUACCUUUUCCCCUGGCUUCUGUUUGGUACUGAACAGAGUCGCCAUAUCCUUCUUUUGCUUGCGAUUGCAGAAGUAUUGUGAAAUGAAAACGCGGCUCAAUGUGUCGAAAUCCGGUAUGGAAUGCGGCUUGAGGUCUUGGAACCAUGUCGACGCUGGCCCCGUGAAACUGGAAGGGAACGCAAAUUAAUUUCUCGUCGGUUGUCUCGAUGGACAUCUGUUGUUUAUACCCCUUGAUAUGGUCCACCGGGUCGGUCGUUCAGUCAUAUUUUUGGAACACCGGCGUGGUAAACCGGCGGGGUUUUGCCCCAUUCAAAAUGUCAUCCAUAAACGGAGACUUAUCGACGUCCCUUGCGAUUUCCGCCGCUAGCUCUCGUGGGCCGGCACGCUUGCAUGCAUCAAUCAUUUUUUCCAUCUUCUCGCGCCACGAUUCAUUGCGUGCCCUUUUGGAUUGGCCUAAUCCGGCUCCGCCGUUCUGCCCCCCAUUCGACGUGCCUCCCACCCCCUCGACGAGGGGUCCACCAGAGAUUCCCCCAAUGACGCUGCUGGCGCCUGCGUUUGCUACUACGUUUUUAGUUUGAUGGAGAUCACUGAUGGCGUUGUCGUCUGACGAAUCACUGUCAAGUUGUAGGAACAUUUCAAGUUUUCGUCGACGACGAGCCUCGCCGUCCUGCUUUUCCUUCUGAAAUUGCUCGAGUUCCUUCCUCAGCCUUUACAUCUCGUCAGCUGGAGGCAAGUUCAAGUCACCAAUGGGGCUCCGGAUGGACCCAUUCGGCUGCUGAUGGGGAGGAAUUUUGUCACUACCAGUCCUCAGUGACAGAAAUAGAAUCCCGUCAGGGGAAGCUCCCGCCAUCACUUUUUAGGGAUAAGUGUUUCCCACAGACAGCGCCACUUGUUGGUAACGAAAAAUUCUGUAGAGGAGUUUAACUCACCAAUGAAUGCGGAUUGGAGCGGGAGCUGACCAGGAACAAUCGAGAAGCUUCCCUCGAGCGUUGACUUGAAGUUUGACCGUCAGCUCGAGAAGGAGGAGGGGUACCUGCAGAAAACUCUCUGUUGCCUAAGUCAGUACGUUUCUUAGUAGUGGAGCAGAGAGAAUUGGAAUUCGAUGGACUACCUCGAUGUCAAGCAACCUAUUUAUAGGUGCAUUUUGGCAUGGGCUGCAAGUAAACUUGCACAGCAAGUUUGCAGUGAUUUGAGCGGCAAGCCGCCAUUAAGGCCGUAUUCACACCUGCAAUAACCACCACUUACUGGCGGCAAUGAUUGUCGUGUCUGAAUGCUACAUUGACUCCUGCAUUUACAGCUGUAAUAACAACUGCAUUUACCGCCAUCACUUCUCUUUAACUGCCCUAUUUAAGGCUCGAAAUAUUGACCACCCCCACAAUGCCUAACCAGAUUAAUGCAAACGAUAAGCAAUCAUGUAUGUUUUUCUCCUUCCCAAGACUGCUUUAUUUGCUUUAAUUACUUGCUCGUUAGGACUUUUAAUUUCCAAUGCCUUGGGUUUAUUUCCACUACCAAUCGAUUCAUCAUAUGCCCGAUUACGGCUUGGACUGAUUACCCUAGAACAAUAAUAAGAUAUUCUUUGUUCAUUCAAAAGUUUUUCAAUCUCCGAUGGCACGCUUGUUGUUCCCUAGGAAAUCACCAAACCCUUAUGUAUUCUCCAUCUAGGACAUCCAUUUCAAGGACUAUAAAUCCGAAAACUUUGGUAAUUCAAUGGUCAUCAUACCUUCCUGCAAAUACUAGAGUCCAUUUCUGUAUCUAUUUCAUUGCAAUGGCUUACAGUCCGAACACUUUAGCUCACUCUAGUUCUCCAAGAACUAGAAGCCCCAUUGUCUUUAACCCUUAUCCUAGCCCUGCCAAAAUGAGCCUCCUUUUGUCACUUGAAUUGGUGGCACUAGGGUGGUUGUAGAAAGCAAUGAAACCAUAGCGUUUGUCCCUAGACAUGCAAUCACCAGUAAAGAGCAGCUAAGCAACUAUGUCCUUCUUGCCAAAAAUUUUGGCAAAAGAGUCUCACCUAAGAAGAUCGUUCGGAAGUGUAACCAACAUUGGGCCAACCUCCAAGGCACUGUUAGGAUGUACCAACUCAUCAAUGAUUGGUACUCACUUGAGUUUACUUAUCUCCAGGAUGUGGAAUUUGUCCUUGAGAAUCGACCCUGGUUUGUUAAAGGAACAAUCUUCCAUAUCCGUGGAUGAUUCCCUGGCUUCAAUGCUCGAACCACUACCAUUGAAACCCUCAUUCUCUGGGAUCGGCUGCCCAAUCUCCCAAUUCAAUACUAGAGUAUUGAAGCAAUUAAGCCCAUUGUUUAAGUGUUAGGCACAUUCAUCAAGCUAGAUCAGAAGACGGAACAAAGCGAGAAUUUCAUCUUCGCUAGAGUCUGUACAGAGAUAGAUCUCUGAACUACCUUGAAGAGAGUGCUUGUGGAGAAUGAGGGUGACCUAUCGUUUGACUUAGUAAGUGAUCUUGUAAGGCUUUACCUUUCGUAUGUGGCUAUCUUUGAAGUUUGCUUUGAGUGUGGUAGCUUUAAGCAUAGGAUUAUGAGCUUCCCCUUUAGGAAAAAAAGACAAACAUUUCAUUCUAGUUGAUAAGGAAUAAGGUGAUGAAGAUAUAGUCUCAGAGGAUAUGGAGGUAGACCAGGAGACUAAGCAGCUGGCUUCGGAGAAGGUAAUGGUGUACUUCCCACAGCCAGCAAAGUCAAACUUUGUUCUAGACAAUCAGGACCUCUCUAAGGUAGACAUCAACCCACCAUCACCAGGAUGGACUCCAGUUCAGACUAGGAAAAGGACAAAAUAGCAACCAAUUAUGGGAGACUCAAACGAGGUGUAUGCAAAUAAGGGCAAAGCUGUCAAGGUUACUAAGCAACCUCUGGUUAAGCCAGGUGUGUCUUUUAAAGACAUGGCCUCAGGACAAGGCGUUGUUAUUGGCAGCCCUACUGGAUGUGCCAUAGGUCAACCAGCUAAGAGCUUUUCUUCCAGUGAUAAGGAGGUGGUGAGAACUUCUUCCCACUGUUCUAGCUCAGUUUUAUCUUAUUCUUCAUUUCCUGAAAUAGCAAAGUUAUAUGAUGAUCAUGCUAUUAGGAUUAACUACCACUUGGAGGAGGUCUACUCACCUAGGGAUGCAGUAGAUUACUUUUACACUAAUUUUGAUUUACCCCAUGUGCAGUUUGAAAACAUUAGUGAUGCUAAGGCUUUUGACUUUGUGAAAGAGGAUAGUGAGAACUUGAAUGAGUAUGAGGUCAAGAUAGUUCAUGGAAAGAGGGUUCUGAUGCUAGUUUAUAGUGACUCUACAAUGAGUUCGGGUUCUAAGAAGAGGACUAGGGAAAUAGCUAAGGAUCAAAGCAUGGCGGAGGCCGAUGCAGAGGAGGACAAUGCCUCUUCUCCUAAGGCUCCCUGU